rnacentral:rRNA from 1 species
UACGGGGGGUGCGAGCGUUGUCCGGAAUCACUGGGCGUAAAGGGCGCGUAGGUGGUCUGAUAAGGGUGUGGUGAAAGCCCGGGGCUCAACCCCGGGUCGGCCGUGCCGACUGUUAGACUAGAGUACUGUAGGGGCAGGCGGAAUUCCGGGUGUAGCGGUGGAAUGCGUAGGGAUCCGGAGGAAGACCGGUGGCGAAGGCGGCCUGCUGGGCAGUUACUGACACUGAGGCGCGACAGCGUGGGGAGCAAACAGG